rnacentral:lncRNA from 1 species
GAUUUGUUGAGAGCUCAUUCAUAUCCUCUAAUGUGAACUUCUUUAUAACCAAUUUUAAUGAACUAUGCAGUAGAAUCUGAUGUGAGUAUCAAAAGGAACAGAGAAGUUAUACUUCAGUGUAGGAAGAGAGAAUGUCAGCCCACUGCCUUAACUCAGUUGGCAUUUUGAAGAAAAUUGACAGAGCCCACCUCCAGAUUUUAUUGGGGUGGGGGAAAGAAGAGAAAAUGGAAGAUAUGUUUUAAACCACUUUUGGCAGGAAAAGUCAUUUCCCUAUUUAGAGUCUGGAAUAAAAAUGUAGUUCCCAUUAAGUAAUUUUUACUUACUUCUGUAUAACCCAAUUAAACACCCCUCAUAUUCCCACUCUCCUGCAGUAACUCAGAUACGACUUAAUCCAAUGUCAUGUGGGCACCGUGCUUCUACGUUUUCGUCUUAACUUUCUAAAUUCCCAAAUUCUUCAUCUCACUAGCUUCAAGUGAAUUUUUCAGUGGGAAAGUACUCUGAAUAAUAUGUAAUAUUUCUUGUGUGUUGCCUUUGUGACAACUUGUUCUAAGCACUUUAUGUGUAUUACUUAUAUUACUAUAACUUCUAUACUAUAAGUUAUUACUAUAACUUCUAUUGUUGGUAUCAUUGUUAUUCUCAUUUAAAGAUGUUUCAGUAGAGGCACAGAAAAGCUGAAUAACUUUUAUUGCUGGUAAGUGUAGGGCCUGAAUUUGAAUCCAGGCAUCUUGCUCUAGAGCCCUAACAUUUUCCAAUCUCAUUAUAAACUGCCUAUAAAAGAAACUUGCUUUUCCAUUCCAGGUUGACAGGCAGGGUGGCAACACAUAUAAAAAGCAUCUUAGGUUCCACUAGUCAAUCUCUUUUUGGAGUAGCUUCCACUGGAAUUCUAUAGGUGUUGAUUCAUUUUUACAUAACCAAUGUCUGUAAACCUGAAGAUCAAAUUCUUAUGGUAGGAAAUAAGACAGUUUUAAAGAUCAAAUUUCCAAGUUCAGGGACCAUGAAAUGUCAAUUGAAAACCAGGAGUAAUGAGCUGUAAAGAUAAAUCAAUACAUGGAAAGACAGGAUGAGUAUUUUAAGCAGCUGAAAUAACUUGUACUUACACAAAAAGGAAGAAAAUAUCUGACCACAUCAGACUGUAUUUUCCUGAGAUCGCUGCAAAAAUCUCUCUCAUUCCACCAGCUCUACUACCAUAAGUUUGGAAAAUAUAAUCUGCCACAUUGACCUAAAUGUUAAAAAAUAAGCAAUAAUUACCAAGUUCCUUACAUCUCCCUUCAUAGGAAAAACUCGGAGUUUAUAAAUUUCAGAAGCUUAACACCCAUAUUGUAAAAUUUCCCUUUCAUAUUAUUGAUGUUGCCAGCACCCUCUUAAUGCCAUUUCUUUUGCUGUGCCAAUUAUUUUUCAAUGACAGUGACAUAAGAAGUAAUGUGCCAUCUGCAUGGCCUUUUACUGCAUUAUGUUCUCCUAGGAUAGUCUUCUAGGGCCUUUGUGACUCCUGCUUCCUGGGAGCCAUUCUAGACUCUUCUCUGAGUGCCAUGCUUCUUCCCCAGCAUCCUACUUCUCCAGCCCCCCUACCAUUCUAGCUGUGUGGGCUACCCCAUCCUGCUAACUGGAAGAUGGAUUUCUAUUAUCAAACAUAAUUUAUUUCAAGGAAGAUAGGGUACCAUUUAGAAACCUAUCUUUUUGGUUAUACUGCAAAUCUCAAUUUGUUGUCUAUUAACUGCCAGGAGUAUACUCAUACUGCAAAUCUCAAUUUGUUGUCUAUUAACUGCCAGGAGUAUACUCAUCUCUCUAAAAGGUUAUUAUUGGGGAAAGGGGUCUUUCCUCUUCAGGUCCACACAGCAGCAGCUCUCUAAUGAAGUUUUGAAAUAUGAGCUGUGAAGGAGCCAGAGGCAGUGAUGGUGCUUUACUGGCCAGCAGUUGUUAGUUUCUCAGUGGUCUAAAGGGAAAUAUCCAAAAACCAACCUGACUUAUGGAGAACUGUGAGAAAAAUACUCUUAACACUUUAAGGUGGCAAUGCCAACAUUCAAUGGCCUCUCCCUCCCCUUUGAGGAAGCUUCCUGGCGCCAGGGUGACAGAAUGAGAUGUAUGAGGUCUGGUUUAGAUGUCUUCCAAGCUGGCCUUUUGUCUGCUAUCCCAGCAUCACAAAAAUAACUUAGGGUGAGAAAUUUACAGGCCAGCAUGUAAAUUCCCUCAUUACUUUAUUAAAUAGUUUGAAAGGAACAUGAUUAAGAAAUUAAAUUCAAUCGAAUGUUACUGUAACUGGUUUUUCAUGAUAAGCGUUUUUCUUAAUGUUAACAGAAGGCUGAUCCUUUGUGUGGAUUGAAUUGUGCCCCCUAUAAGACAUGUCCAAUUGCUAACCCCCAGCACCAGUGAAUGUGAGCUUAUUUGAAAAUAAGGGUUUUGCAGAAAUACUCAAGUUAGCAUGAGGUCAUACUGGAUUAGAAUGGGCCCUAAAUCCAGUGACUGGUGCCCUUAUAACACAAGGAGAGAACACAGAAAGACAUACACAAAAGGCACAUGGAAAUUGGAGUGAUGCAGCUAUAAGCCAAGCAAGGCCAAGGACUAUGAGCAACCCCAGAAACUACACAGAGUUAGGGGAAGGAUUCUUCUAGAGCUUUCAGAGGAGCAUACCCCUGCCAACACCUUGAUUUUGGACUUCUUUUAGUCUCUAGAACAGUGAGGGACUAUAUUUCUGUUGUCAUAAGCCAUCCAGUUUGUGGCAAUUGUUACAGCAGCCCAAAGAAACUAAUGCAGCCCUAUAUAUGAAAAAUAUGGUAAUAACCUUACAUUUUUUUUCAAGGAGAAAUAAAUAUAGUAGCUUAGAACACAGAUUCUGAAACCAAACUUACUGGGUUUAAAUCCCAUCUCUGCCAGUUACUAGCUAUAUGAAAUUGAGCAACUUAACCUCUCUCUUUCUCAAUUCCUUCAUCUUUAAGUGGGGAUAAUAAAAGCGUAUAGAUUAUAGGGUUGUUAUGAGUAUUUUAAAAGUUAAUAUUUGUAUAGAACUUAGAACAGGACCCUGCACAUAUUAAAUGCUAUAUAAGUGCAUAAGUGCUUUUUCAUUUGGUAGGGUCUUUCCAAUAUAUUCCCUCAUAGCCACCCCUGAAAAAUGUUUUUCCACCACAAAAUCUUACCUUUGUUUGCCUAUUACCCCUUCGGUAAUUUCUCUUAACAUUAAACUCUAUCAAACUUAGAGUUAACUAAUCUUGAAACAAAUUUAUGACAUGUUCCUGCUAUUUAAUUAUUGCAAAAAAUAAGCAGAAAUGUAUUUAUUUGUUGAGUGUUUAUCAAGCAUCUACUGCACACCAAUUUUUGUGUUUGAAAAAAAUAAAUUCAUACUCUAUAAUAAUAGAGUCUAUAGUCUAGUGGAAAUAUUGAAUGUUGGAGUAAUUCACUAUAUACAUUCUCCUUUGAUAUGAAUACUUACUUGAAUUACUGGAAGCAGAAACAUUAAAAUUUAUAGAAUUCAACAUUAUUUGAAACUUUGAUUGCAUUUUGUAUUUGCAAACACGUCUUCCAUCUUUUCACAUCCUACACCUUGCAUUUUGCUACUCCUCAGAUCCUGUUUCAGGAGGAUAUGCCACUCUUAUUUACAGAGAGGAACUGGAGUCUUGGCUUAGACCAAAUGUAAAGGAGUCUCCCCUUAUCUGUGGGGUCACUUUUCUGAGUUUUCACUUACCUGUGGUCAACACAAUCCGAAAAUAGGGAGAACAGUACAACAAGAUAUUUUGAGAGAGAACACAUUUAUAUAACUUUAAUUACAGUACAUUGUUAUAAUUUUCUAUUUUCUUCUUUGAUAUUGUUAAUCUCUUACUGUGCUUAAUUUAUAAAUUAAACCUUAUCAUAUGUAUGUACAUUUAGGGAAAACAUGGUGUAUCUAGGGUUCGGUACUACUUGCAGUUUCAGGCAUCCACUGGAGAUCUUAGAAGGUAUCCCCUGUGGAUAAGGGGGGAUUACUAUACUAUCAUUUCUUAUCAGUUUGAUAUUCAAUGGUUUCUCUUUGAGAUGCUAAAAUGUUAAAUGAGUUUUUGCAUAUUAAUUAAGUCUAGCCACACAAAUCAGAAGAAACUAGGAAUGGGACACAUGGAAAUAGGUGACACCUGCCCCAGCUUUCUAUCUGGUAUAUUCCUUAUUUUUAGAUAUGAAAAUAUCUUUUUUUGUGUCAGGACCACUGAUUAGCAAUGACACAAAAAAUUAGAGCUUUUAGUGAUCACUGAAGUUAUUUCAGUAUGCUUUGACUAAGGAUUUGUGUCCCUCCCCAGUGAAUUUGGGGAGGGAUGGUCCCUUCUGUCCGUUUGUUUAAUACCCCACAUUUCUCUGAGAAGUCCUAUCAUUUUGAUCAUUUCUAAUUUAAACGGAAGGACACCCUUUGUGCAUUCUUUUCUCGUUGCUGUUUCCAACAGCAGUGGUUUAAAUGGGAAGGCUGAGACUAUAGAUUCCACCACAUCACUUGAAAUGCCAACUUGGCAGUAAUCAUUUUAUUCUUUUUAGUUCAGAACAUGUAUUUUAAAAAUGAAUGGGUAUUGACUAGUUAACAACUAGAGAUUUUUUUUCCAGGAAACAAUUUCCUAGACUUUAAACCAAAAUUUGGAGCUCAAGAAACACUAAAGAAGACAGUACUCUAUGUAAAGUAGUUAUUAAUUGGGGUUUCACUGUAGGUCUAUAUGCAAAUCUUAACUUUUAACCAAAAAAUAUAUAACAAUAUAAAGUGCAAAAAGUUUAAGCUUUACACAGAAAAUGUAUGAUACAAAAUCACUUUUAACUUAAAAGGCAGUUUAAAGUUUAUCUGUGAAGAAAGAGAAACAUUUUGUACAUAAAUCCUCCCAGUUUUCAUUGACAAUGAUGGUGUUAUUUAAGCAUCCCUGUAAUUAAAUGUCACUUUAAAAAUAAUGGACGUGUCAGGGUAUCUUUUUAAAUGGAAAAAAAGUAUAUUUUUGUAGUAUUAACAGAAGUAAUACUCAACCAAGAUUUCCCAAAUUACAGAAUAAAAUUAAUAUCUUCUUUUUUUCCCCCAGCAGUGAUCUCUUUUCUAUGAUUCCUUUUCUGUGAACAUUCAGGACUAUCUGAACGAAAUGGGACCCCCAUCUCCUGCCACUUCUGGAGAACAAACAACCCACUCAAAACCAUUUACCCAUCAUCACUGUCCAGAUCAUUGCACAGGGUGGGUUUAUAUGAUAUGCCCACUCUGAAAAUGUGGCUAAGUAUUCCAAUCAUAGCUGUUGCCAGUGUUUCCCACCAUUGCUGUAUACUCUUAGUAAAUGGUAGUUGUUAAAAAUAUAAAAUAGGCUUGCUUCAUGAGAAGAAGAAAGUACUUUCUCUUGUAAAGUUCCUUUAAGCAUUGGCAUAGUAAGUGUUCCUUUUCUCAUUGAUACCAUAGUUUUUUUACUGUGUUUUGUUUUGCUUUCUUCAGAUUUUAAAGGAAAAAUAAGGUGAUGUUGCUGAUUUUCAGAAAUAUUUUCAGCUUCAGAUAUCUGUGAUAAAAAUGAGAAAAAAGAAGUGGAUGUUCUGUCAGAAGGUAUUGUCCCAGCUACUUGGAAGGCUGAGGCAAGAGGAUCACUUGAGACGUUCAAGGCUGUAGUGCACCAUGAUUGCCCCUUGUGAAUAGCCACUGAACUCCAGCCUGAGCAACAAAGUGAGACCUCAUCUGUAAACAAACAAACAAAACUGCUCCUGAAUUUCAAUGUCAAUUUAUUGUAGAAAUCUUAAAAACUUAAUCCUCCUAAAAUAAUGCUGUUUUUAGGGGCAACACAUAAUUGUGUACAAUUUCAUGUUUCUUUUGAAGUGAUAAUUAAAAAUAAUUGAAACAGUUAUUAAAGAAUAAAGACAUUGUGACAAAGAAAUGACCGGGAACCACAUAAAGCAAGAUAUUUUGUACUUUCAAAUAAUGCUGAUUUUUAGGGCUAACAAGUUUCAGUAGUAGCUUAAUAAAUAUACAUUAAGAAAUGCCCUUUCUGAAUUCCAUUUUAUGAUGUUCAAGUACAAAAAAUAUUCAUCCAUUGCGACUUUGAACUGUGAAAUGGUCAAUGAAGAGGUGAGCGGCACUUAACUUGAAGCUAAUGUCUCAUCGAAUUGUUCGAACUUCACUCCUUGGUCAUAAGGUUUUCCAGAUCCAGAGCAAGGUAGCCAUAUGGCAUUGAUAUUCGAAAUACAAAGCCAAGUAUCGGUUUUAAAAACAGUAUUAUUGAUUUUUUUCUUCUUUUCCAAUUUUCUCUUUUUGAAAUUGUGCUGCUACAAAUUUGAAUUUUAAAAUGUCUUAUUUUUCAAAUUUGUAUUGUUUCAUCUAUUGAAUGGUUUUUACUUUAAGGAAGUUCAGAAAGUUUUUAUGUUCUCAGCCAUUCUUUUUUAUAGAAAAUAUCUUAAAAACUGAAAAGCCUCUGAAAGGCUCAGGUGAACGAAAAUAGAAAAAAAAGUAUCUAUCUCACUCUUCUUUUUAAUUCCUCUUUAAUGCUUCCCUUACAAAUAUAUUGGAAAGAAAACUAUUUAGGUGGUACAAGGCUUCUCCCUGGUUUCAUUUUUCUUGCUCGUAUAUACAAUUAAUUAUUUGUGGCAGCAUUAUUUUUACUUUGGAGCCCUGAUUUCCCACAAUUAUUGGUCUGAUGGAGCUCAGACCUGUGUUUCAGAGUUAAAUACUCUUCCAAGAAUUUCCACAUUAUAAAACUCCCCAACCAGCACUAAACUGUACACAUAAAAAUUGUAAAAAUGGUAAAUUAUAUAUGCAUAUUGUACCUUACAAUUUUUUUUAUAAAAAAUAAAGAUUUUUUUAAAAAAAACAAACAAAUACCUCCUGCCCCACAAAAAAAAUUUCUCACCCCAUCCAAGUACCAGUCACUAGACUCUAACAAACAGUUCGGAAUUCAACUGGUGUCCAAAAGGUUAACAACAUUACCAAGGUGAAGGAACCAAAUCGGUAUCAUACACUGGAGCCAUGGGGAAGCUUUUGGAACUAGGAUUUCUGAGAACUUUUUACCAUAUACAGCAGGGAAAUCUUUGUAAAAAGGAGGAAAUUGGUAUAGUAUAUUCUGCUGCUGGCACGAAACGUGUUUUUACCAAACUAAAGUAUCCUGUAGUUCAAAAAUGUUAUCACAAGAUUCCAUUUGUGUAUCUAUUUAAAGUUUUGGUAUAUUUUCAAUAAAAAUUAAUAAAAAUAUUUCUUCUCAUAAUAUGUGGUUUAAAUCCAGAUUAUUUCACAAUAUGUGGUUUAAAUCCAGAUUAUUUCACUGUAAUAUGUCUUGAUAGAGUUUUAGAAUAUUGAAAUAGGGUAUUAAGAUGCUUUAAAUCGAUUACUGAUUUGAACAUUGUAAGUGUAUAUUUCUAUUUGUGUGUGUGUGUCAUAUUCAAAUAUGAUUAAUCAUGUAUGUUGGUGUGUGAACAUAUGCAUAUAUAAAGCAUUUUUAUCAGCUGUUUCUGGCUUCAUACCACAG